CAGUCGAGGGGCAGCAUCAUCAAAGCUUGCUUUGAUGGAUGGCGACCGGCGCACGGGUGAGUAACACGUAUCCAACCUGCCGACAACACUGGGAUAGCCUUUCGAAAGAAAGAUUAAUACCGGAUGGCAUAGUUUUCCCGCAUGGGAUAAUUAUUAAAGAAUUUCGGUUGUCGAUGGGGAUGCGUUCCAUUAGGCAGUUGGCGGGGUAACGGCCCACCAAACCGACGAUGGAUAGGGGUUCUGAGAGGAAGGUCCCCCACAUUGGAACUGAGACACGGUCCAAACUCCUACGGGAGGCAGCAGUGAGGAAUAUUGGUCAAUGGACGAGAGUCUGAACCAGCCAAGUAGCGUGAAGGAUGACUGCCCUAUGGGUUGUAAACUUCUUUUAUACGGGAAUAAAGUUAGCCACGUGUGGCUUUUUGUAUGUACCGUAUGAAUAAGGAUCGGCUAACUCCGUGCCAGCAGCCGCGGUAAUACGGAGGAUCCGAGCGUUAUCCGGAUUUAUUGGGUUUAAAGGGAGCGUAGGCGGGUUGUUAAGUCAGUUGUGAAAGUUUGCGGCUCAACCGUAAAAUUGCAGUUGAUACUGGCGACCUUGAGUGCAACAGAGGUAGGCGGAAUUCGUGGUGUAGCGGUGAAAUGCUUAGAUAUCACGAAGAACUCCGAUUGCGAAGGCAGCUUACUGGAUUGUAACUGACGCUGAUGCUCGAAAGUGUGGGUAUCAAACAGGAUUAGAUACCCUGGUAGUCCACACAGUAAACGAUGAAUACUCGCUGUUGG
rnacentral:rRNA from 1 species